UUCACUUUCAUUUUGGCUUGCUGUAAGGAUUGCUGCCCUGCCGGCUGGCUAGGUUGCUCUGGUGCAGAGAAGAACUUGAAAAAUCUCAAUGAUCUUUGGUACUACUUGGUCUUUAUCAGAAGUUAAAGAGGUUCUAAAGUUUGAAGCUGCAGAAUUAAGAGUCUGUCAAUGGAGCAAAAAACAGGCAAGAGGACAAGCCAACCUGAAAACUAUGAAGUCAGAAGUGACAGAGGUGAUGGCCUGGACCAUGUGGGAGGCUCAGGUUUGCAGUUAGACAUGGAGAGCUCAAUGAAGAAUGGCCAGUCCUGCAAGGAGCGCCGUGUCUGGCAGUGAAACUUAUGGAAAGAAGUAACUAUCUUAUGCUUUCACAAGUCCUAUCGAAGAGCCCUGCCUCAAAGCAUUGAGAGAAUACAGAAUAGGAGUGUUUAAAGCAGUCUUGAAGACUCAUUUAGGAAACAUCCCCCUGAGAAGGUAAAAUGAUCAUUUUUGAAGGAACAAGCAAGAAAACGCUGUGCUCUACUUAGCAAGUUAUGGACAGGAUGUUGGACUUCCAAGAAGACAACACUGACCGUGUGUGCUGGGUUUCACAGUUAUUCCUGUAAGUGGUGGUGAGAUUUGGAGACAGUCAUCUUGGGGUAGAGUGGCUAGUGGAUGCCGAGGCCCCUGCAGCCAUCUAGAUGACAGAGGAAGGACUGAGAUCCGGAAGCAGAAUGGAAAAGAAAAAUGUGCCCCCUUUGUUUCAGCAGUGUUUAGGGAAGUUUACAAAUAACUUAAUGAAAAUCUUGCAUCCUGUAACUUGUUACUUAUAAUAUCUAAUACAAGACAUUCACUUGGUUGAA